rnacentral:piRNA from 1 species
GGAAAGGGGACAAGGAAGGAGGAA